rnacentral:lncRNA from 1 species
GGGCCAGGGGACAAACCCUGAUUCCCUUUGCAUGCAUCACUUCUGCCAAGGGAGGCUGGCACAGAGGUGAGGGCACCCCCAUUCUGCCUUUCCCAGAGGGGCCUGGCUGCAUCAUCUGGAGAGCUGGCUGAGUAGCCCCACCUGCCGUGUCUGGCUGGGUCAGGAGCCCACAGCUUCCUGCCUGCUUCUGUGCAGCUCCUGGCCACACUUUGCCCAGCCGAGGGUCCCUUGGCCCAGCCCUGUGGCAGUUCCUCUUCUUUCCUAGUCUGGAUGACAGAGCCCAGGAUGCAGUGGGGGAGGACAGACCUGCAGGCCCAAGCAGUUUUGAAGUUAGGAAGGGCAGGGCAUCUUGACCCAGAAAAGCCCUUUCUGAAUUUAUCUGAAAGAAGAUCACUUCCAUCUUAUCCUACAAUCAGGCAGCAAGUAUUUACUGAGUAAUGAUUGCCUGCCAGCAGCAUGCAGUAAGU